AUCGAACGCUGGCGGCAGGCCUAACACAUGCAAGUCGAACGAGUGGCGGACGGGUGAGUAAUGUCUGGGAAACUGCCCGAUGGAGGGGGCUAACUACUGGAAACGGUAGCUAAUACCGCAUACCAUCGGAUUCGCCCAGAUGGUAAUAGCUAGUAGGUGGGGUAACGGCUCACCUAGGCGACGAUCCCUAGCUGGUCUGAGAGGAUGACCGGCCACACUGGAACUGAGACACGGUCCAGACUCCUACGGGAGGCAGCAGUUGGGAAUAUUGCACAAUGGGAGCAAGCCUGAUGCAGCCAUGCCGCGUGUAUGAAGAAGGCCUUCGGGUUGUAAAGUACUUUCAGCAAGGAGGCGUUACUCGCAGAGGAAGCACCGGCUAACUCCGUGCCAGCAGCCGCGGUAAUAC
rnacentral:rRNA from 1 species